UCGGUGCAGGGAAGGUGGCUCGGUUGUGGCACGGCUCGGACCUACUCGCGGAGGGUGGAGCGUCGGGUCUUCACAGCCACAACAGGGGCAACGAACGGUGGCGCGAGUUCGUGGGUGGUGCUCGCACAGGGGGUGGCCGGUGGUGCGAUGGCCUGGCUGCUGGUGCGCCAAUGCGUGCAACAAGGGAAGAAGACAGUGAACAGUGGCUGUCUUUUC
rnacentral:lncRNA from 1 species